rnacentral:miRNA from 1 species
UUAUGGUGUACUUCAAGAUGCU